GACGAACGCUGGCGGCGUGCUUAACACAUGCAAAUCGAGCGGAAAGGCUCCUUCGGGGGUACUCGAGCGGCGAACGGGUGAGUAACACGUGAGUAAUCUGCCCUGCGCUCUGGGAUAGCCACCGGAAACGGUGAUUAAUACCGGAUAUGACCGCUACGCGCAUGUGUUGGUGGUGGAAAGUUUUUCGGCGCAGGAUGUGCUCGCGGCCUAUCAGCUUGUUGGUGAGGUAAUGGCUCACCAAGGCUUUGACGGGUAGCCGGCCUGAGAGGGUGACCGGUCACACUGGGACUGAGACACGGCCCAGACUCCUACGGGAGGCAGCAGUGGGGAAUAUUGGACAAUGGGCGGAAGCCUGAUCCAGCAACGCCGCGUGAGGGAUGACGGCCUUCGGGUUGUAAACCUCUUUCAGUACCGACGAAGCGAAAGUGACGGUAGGUACAGAAGAAGGACCGGCCAACUACGUGCCAGCAGCCGCGGUAAAAC
rnacentral:rRNA from 1 species